rnacentral:rRNA from 1 species
UGGCAUCACCUGUUUAUCAAAAACAUAUUUUAAAGAAUAUUAAUUUUAAAUCAAAUCUGCCCAAUGAUUAUUAUUAAAUGGCUGCAGAAUCACUAACUGUACAAAGGUAGCAUAAUAAUUUGGUUUUUAAUUAAAACCUUGAAUGAACGAUUUAAUGAGGUAUAAACUUUAUAAAUAAAAUAAAUUUAAAUUUUUAUUUAAGUAAAAAAACUUAAAUUUAUAAAAAAGACGACAAGACCCUAUAGAAUUUUAUUUAUUUAAAAAUUAAAUUUAAUUCAUAAUAAUUUUUAAAUAAAUUUUAUUGGGGUAAUAGAAAAAUUUAACAAAUUUUUUUAAAAAUAAACAAUAAUUAUUGAAAAAAAAUCUUAAAAUUUAAAUUAACAAAAUUAAUUACCUUAGGGAUAACAGCAUAGUUUUUUUUAAAAGAUCUUAUUAAUAAAAAAGACUAUGACCUCGAUGUUGAAUAAGAUCCAGAGUCCAAAAAGACAAUAGGGUUUACGACCUCGAUGUUGAAUAAGA